UAUGAAUUCUUCUUUUUUUAUAGCUCUACUACAAAGUUGAUACAGUAGGACAGAUUACAGAAAUAAGAAAACUGGCUUUUCUCAUCAGCAAUAGUGUGGCAAUUCUAAAAGUUCAACAUGCGGCCUACACAGCUAGCUCAUGUGGAGAAGAGAUAUGAGACUGGUUGCGAAUAAAUGUACACUUAGUUAAGUGCAUCAUGGAUCUACAAAGUGAAAUAUAUGUACCAAAAAUAUUAGUUUAUUCAUAACUAAGCCUUUUUCAGCACUGCAGUCAAUAGAACAAUGAUAGUGACAAGAAUUGAGACUAUUUCAUACCUCAAACUAUGGGAAAAUACUUCUUGAGAUCAGUUCUCUACUACAAAGUUGAUACAGUAGGACAGAUUACAGAAAUAAGAAAACUGGCUUUUCUCAUCAGCAAUAGUGUGGCAAUUCUAAAAGUUCAACAUGCGGCCUACACAGCUAGCUCAUGUGGAGAAGAGAUAUGAGACUGGUUGCGAAUAAAUGUACACUUAGUUAAGUGCAUCAUGGAUCUACAAAGUGAAAUAUAUGUACCAAAAAUAUUAGUUUAUUCAUAACUAAGCCUUUUUCAGCACUGCAGUCAAUAGAACAAUGAUAGUGACAAGAAUUGAGACUAUUUCAUACCUCAAACUAUGGGAAAAUACUUCUUGAGAUCAGUUCUCUACUACAAAGUUGAUACAGUAGGACAGAUUACAGAAAUAAGAAAACUGGCUUUUCUCAUCAGCAAUAGUGUGGCAAUUCUAAAAGUUCAACAUGCGGCCUACACAGCUAGCUCAUGUGGAGAAGAGAUAUGAGACUGGUUGCGAAUAAAUGUACACUUAGUUAAGUGCAUCAUGGAUCUACAAAGUGAAAUAUAUGUACCAAAAAUAUUAGUUUAUUCAUAACUAAGCCUUUUUCAGCACUGCAGUCAAUAGAACAAUGAUAGUGACAAGAAUUGAGACUAUUUCAUACCUCAAACUAUGGGAAAAUACUUCUUGAGAUCAGUUCUCUACUACAAAGUUGAUACAGUAGGACAGAUUACAGAAAUAAGAAAACUGGCUUUUCUCAUCAGCAAUAGUGUGGCAAUUCUAAAAGUUCAACAUGCGGCCUACACAGCUAGCUCAUGUGGAGAAGAGAUAUGAGACUGGUUGCGAAUAAAUGUACACUUAGUUAAGUGCAUCAUGGAUCUACAAAGUGAAAUAUAUGUACCAAAAAUAUUAGUUUAUUCAUAACUAAGCCUUUUUCAGCACUGCAGUCAAUAGAACAAUGAUAGUGACAAGAAUUGAGACUAUUUCAUACCUCAAACUAUGGGAAAAUACUUCUUGAGAUCAGUUGUAAGUGGUUUUAUAUCAUGCAUGAAACAAUAAACUAAAGUAGUUUUAAACACUGUUGGAUAAUUUGUACACUGUACCAGAAAACUGACACAAUAAAAGUUAUUAAAUAUGAACACAAUCAUUUUUUUCUAAUUUUUUGGCAUUCAAAGCAGUAUGACGGCAAAAGACACAAAUAUUGCUAUAAUAAAUUUGGUCUUACAAAACCUAUAAAUGUUUUUUUUUGUGCUGUAACCAUAUGAAAUGCAUGUAUUUUUAAUGGUUAAUAACUCAAGAACUCAAUCAGACUAAAAAAAUGUAAAUAAAUUGU